GUAAAGGACUUUGAUGACGCUGUCAAACAAUUGGUUAAUCUUUUGCACAACAACGGUACUGCUGAAGGCAAACCUGAAGUAUUCACCAGUUAUGGCUGGGGCGAGGGUAUGGGAGCAUCUGGCGUCCUCAGAGCUACAGCCAAACUCGUAAACUCCAUGAUAUGUGAUGAUUUCAACAAGUUAAAGCAUUUUGACAGAGUUGUCUACGUGGACUGCUCAUAGUGUAUAAACAAAAGGACCAUGCAGAGGGCAAUUGCAGAGAAGUUGAACCUCCACCAUGAAAUGCCCAUAUUUGAUAAGCAGGAUGAAGAUGAUGAUUUCAGAGGGGUACACAACAGCAAUAGAAAAGAGGUGUCUGGGAUCGGAAGUUUGAUUAAUAAUUCUAUAAGAGAUGAAAGAUUUUUGAUGAUUAUUGAUUAUGGAGGAGUUGAAGAUAUUGAUCUGAUAGAAUGUGGCAUUCCUAUUUUCGGUAAAGGUAUAUUAUUAUGGACCAAUUGUGGAAGAUUUCUGGUCAACAUGAGAGAAAGCAAGUUGAUGUCCCCUUCUGCUAGUAAUGAUAUUUUUAUCAGUCUCUAUCAGAAUGAAGGCAUAAAACAAAUACAUAAUAUACUGCACGAAGAAGCUGUCGGAGUGAUUGGUGACACUUGUAUGGAUGGCAUCAACCCAGAAAUAGUUUUGGAUUGCUUCCUGUACUCAUUCUUCUUGACAGCACAGCUACCUAAAAACUCUAUCGGUGUUGACUAUGGUUGGGCUACUCAUGCUUGCAACUACUGGAUAUGUGAUGGAAUCCUUGAGGAUAGAGCAUGGGAGAUCGGUAAUGCAUUGUAUGGAGUGAUAACGCAAUUUGGCUAUUAUUCAGAAAAAUCAAGUGGCUAUUUUUCAGAUGAAACAAGAUGUAUGGCUUUGGCAUCAGAUUUUUAUGGACGAAAAAAAUCUUAUGAAGGUUGGUAUUUAGUGACCUUUAACAAACUAACAGCAGAUGAUAUCUCUUAUGUUACUGGAAGUGCAUCAUCAUAUUUCCUAACUUGCCAGGGGGAUGAUCCAGUAUAUGUACAUAAUGAUUUGUUUCAACUGGCCAGCAGCAACCUCCGUGUGUUAAAACUCUGCAAUUGUUGCUUUGAUUUUGCAUCCCCUCCUUUUCAGUGCUGCCACAACCUAAGAUUCCUUUGGCUUGACCAUUGUGCAAACACAGGGAAGGAGCAAAGUGGAGGGCCAAGUUUUCCAAACCUGUUGGUGUUUGAUUUACGUUUCACAGAUUUUGUUUUGUUGCCUCAGAUGAUUGAACUGAUGAUCAAUCUCAGAGAGCUGAAUACAAAGGGAGUCUUAUGGAAGGCUAUAAGUCAUGCAUGGAAGAAGCUACAGAAGCUUCAUAAGCUCCGGUUGACCGAAUCUUCAGAUGUGGUUAUGGUGGACAAUUGUUAUUCUGUGGAUAUGAUGAAUCUGGAGCUCCUUGACUUGUCUGGCAACAAUCACAUGGAAUCAUUGCCGACAUUGUCGUCUGCAAAAAGUCUGAAGAUGCUUGUUAUUGAUGGUUGUUCUAGCUUGAAGCAUGUUGGACUGGAAGGAGCUCCUCCACUGCUUGAAAGUUUUAGUUUCGAUGGUUAUGGCCCAGCAGAGAAUUGGACACAUUCCAUACACCUGCCACAAAAGGAAUUGCGCCUCAAGUCUCCUUUAGCUCCUGUUGAAAUAGUCAAGGUGACAAAGAUCUCCCUACACGGUUGUGGUCAAUUGCAUAACAUAUUCCUUCGUGGACUGCCAAAUCUGGAGGAACUGGACCUCUCUGGUACAACCAUUAAAAUAAUUGACCUCCAUGCAAUGGAUGUCCCGAAACUCAAGAAGCUAUUCCUACUGGGCUGUGUGGGGCUCCGUAGCCUAAUAUGGCAAGGAUCACCUAGACUGGAAGUUCUACAUGUGGACACUCAAGGGACUAAAAGACCAGUGGUCUACUGUGGAGAACAGGGAUUCUUUGGCUUUCAAGCACAUAUUGUUUUUACGGAUGGAAGGUUCAUUUGGUCAUUCUCAGAGGGGCUCAAUAGCCGAUCACAAAAUUCUGUCUCCAAGGUGUACCUCCUUAUCUCUUGUAUGAGCCGUAGCCAAGCGAACAUCACCAAAAGUAUCAAGGAGAUUGGAUCUACCCGGCAGGGUUUGGUAUCAACAAGGCCAUUUUUACCAUAUAGUGAUACUACUCUUGCUAAAGAUGUAGCAUGCCCUUCUUUGGUGUGGAACUGUCGACCGCUUCAAACUUUGAAUGUACAUGUCGAGAUUGGUGAAGGAAGCUAUAAUUUAGAGAGGAUGCAACAUGAAGGGGGUUUCCAAGAUUUCACAUGAACUGUUGAAUCGUUGCAUGUGCAUGACAAUUCCUCUAUCACUGCUAUCCCUCCAACAAAUUUUUGGUUGUGGACAAAACUAAAAUGGUGUCAUGUUGAGAGGUGUUCCAAGCUACACUCUCUGUUUCGUUAUAGGUAUGGAGAUGCCAGGUUUGCAAGUAUAAGGACAUUUUCAGCUUCUGAUCUUCUGUUGGCCUAUUGCAUAUGGGGUAGAGGCAUUAAUUCUCGGGAUAGUACUUGUUGUUUCCAACAACUACAGCACAUAUACAUAUACCAUUGCCCUAGGCUGGUGUUCGUCCUCCCCAUUUCCUUCACCUUGCCUAACUUGGAGACCCUCCAGAUCGCAUACUGCAGUAACCUCCAACAUGUUUUCCCAUUGGAUGACAAGUAUCCUGAGAGCAUAGCAUCUGGUGUCACAUUUAAGAACCUGAAGGACAUCAAGCUACACCAUCUUCACAAGCUGGAGCAGAUAUGUGAAGCCAGACUGACUACACCAGCGUUGCAGAUGGUCGGCAUCAGGGACUGCUGGGCUCUCAGGCGUCUUCCUGCUGUAGCAUGUGAAGGUCCUGAGCCGCUGGUGGACUGCAAGAAGGACUUGUGGGACAACCUCGAGUGGGAUGGCCUGGAUGCCGGACAUCACCCGUCGCUCUUCAAAACACACCACUCGGCCUACUACAAGAAGACCCUCCCGAGGGCCUCCUAUCUAAGGUUUGUCGCACAUUGA
rnacentral:rRNA from 1 species